rnacentral:ncRNA from 2 species
AAAGCCAGCUAGGGGAGUUCUUGAGAACUGAGACAGGCGCGGCCUGAACCCUUUGAACCUGAUCCGGUUGACACCGGCGUAGGGAAGCGGCGCGAACUCCGA